rnacentral:lncRNA from 1 species
AUCCCAGAAGUGAAAGCGCUCAGUACACCAGGUUUGCGAUUCGUUCCCUGGGCUACCUCACUUCGUGUUUACAACAUCGCCUUUGUGAGUCGGCCACUAAUACCUCAGGUGUAAGGAAUAAAGGACUGGAGAGUGGGGGUUAACCACCCGGAGGCAGGGGGCUAACGAUAAACGGUGAGAACACAGCGCGCCUGCGCUGGGUCUCUGCGCUUACCGUGCUGCUAUGGGCCGCCUGCUUCUCUAGUUCCUCUGUGUUGUUAGUAACACUCCAGUCAGCCAUAACGCGUGUGCCUGUUUCAACCCGCCCCGUGAAUACAAACCCAGUUAGAUGUUGGCUUGUGCCAUGAAGUCAUUUCAAGAGCUGAGUGAAAACAAGGGAAAGGUUCUGAUGCUAGCCGCAUCAGCUGGGAGGAAGAGGCAGAAACGUUUAAAAGGAGCUCCACAGGGCACAGAGAGGAAAAGGACAGACAAGUCAAACAGAAAAUACAGCAUGGCGCGGUUCCUGUUUCUAAAAGUCACACAAAACAAAUGACACACUUAUACACAUACAUCCGUGAAGACCGAAGGAGAAAUGUUGGUAACAUUGGCUCUCUGGACCGGGGCCUGGCUUAAAGUGACAGAGUAGUGACAUUUUAUAAGAUAGUUUAUUAACAUAAUGGGUAUGUAAGAGAAAGAAGAACUGGGCGGGGGCAGAGACGUUGUCAGAAAAUAAAAGAUCAGAAUAAAUAAA